UUUUCUUUAUAUUAUUUGGCAGUAGUUUCUUGACUCAUUUCGGUGGUAAGCAGGGCACGAAAACACCGUUGAACGCACGAAUAUGGUUGUGUUUGAUGAUGAUGUAACUGCACUUUGGGAUAGCUUCUUGGCAAAUUACACAAAUGCUACUAGAGCGUACUGGAACCCUUAUUUUUAUGAGAUUAUGUAUCUGAAGAGAGAAUUGUUGAGGCCCGCUUAUAGAAGAUGAAUAUGAUUUGGAACUGUAUUAGGGUAGUUAGGGCCAUAGCUUUUGUAUCCAGUGGUUUUGGGCUAUAAGUUGAUGACAAAUGUUUUGUUAGGUCCUUACUGUAGGUGAUCAUUCAUAUGUAAUGGGGUACUUCAUACUUAAGUUUGUAUGGGUUGUUGGAUGUUUUAACUUAUAUGAUGUAUUAAUUAUUGAUAUAUUAGUUAUGACUUUCCGCGAUGCUUAA